rnacentral:rRNA from 1 species
AACGAACGCUGGCGGCAGGCCUAACACAUGCAAGUCGAGCGCCCGGAUUUAUCCGGGAGCGGCGCACGGGUGAGUAACGCGUGGGAACAUGCCCUGAAGUACGGAAUAACCUGGGGACACCUUGGCUAAUACCGUAUACGCCCUGAGGGGGAAAGAUUUAUCGCUUUGGGAUUGGCCCGCGUUGGAUUAGCUGGUUGGUGUGGUAACGGCGCACCAAGGCGACGAUCCAUAACUGGUCUGAGAGGAUGACCAGUCACACUGGGACUGAGACACGGCCCAGACUCCUACGGGAGGCAGCAGUGGGGAAUAUUGGACAAUGGGCGAAAGCCUGAUCCAGCCAUGCCGCGUGAGUGAAGAAGGCCUUCGGGUUGUAAAGCUCUUUCAGCGGGGACGAUGAUGACGGUACCCGCAGAAGAAGCCCCGGCUAACUUCGUGCCAGCCGCCGCAGUAA